GACGAACGCUGGCGGCGUGCCUAAUACAUGCAAGUAGAACGCUGAAGGAGGAGCUUGCUUCUCUGGAUGAGUUGCGAACGGGUGAGUAACGCGUAGGUAACCUGCCUGGUAGCGGGGGAUAACUAUUGGAAACGAUAGCUAAUACCGCAUAACAGUAGAUGUUGCAUGACAUUUGCUUAAAAGGUGCAAUUGCAUCACUACCAGAUGGACCUGCGUUGUAUUAGCUAGUUGGUGGGGUAACGGCUCACCAAGGCGACGAUACAUAGCCGACCUGAGAGGGUGAUCGGCCACACUGGGACUGAGACACGGCCCAGACUCCUACGGGAGGCAGCAGUAGGGAAUCUUCGGCAAUGGACGGAAGUCUGACCGAGCAACGCCGCGUGAGUGAAGAAGGUUUUCGGAUCGUAAAGCUCUGUUGUAAGAGAAGAACGAGUGUGAGAGUGGAAAGUUCACACUGUGACGGUAUCUACCAGAAAGGA
rnacentral:rRNA from 1 species